CACAUUCAUUAACCUAAAACCUUUCUGCUUCAUACUAAUCUCUCUUCAGCCGCAGCUUUCUCGCCGGUGGUGGCUCCACCACCGUGUUCCAGCUUCUAGGCCUCCUCAACCGAAGUAACUCCUCCACCCCCUCCCACGUCGCCGCAAGCCUGGUUUAUUCCGACCAGAAGCACCUUCGUCGCAAGCCCCUUUUCAUAUGACAAGAAUCACCUCAUCCGUCGCAAGCACGCCUCCGGCACAAACUUUUGCGAGCCUAUGUAAGCUCCUAUCACCCAGUGUGGAAUUUGGUUUAUCCAAUUUGAGAGAACACAAUUUCAAAGUGAUAAAGCUAAAGCAGUGCAUAUGCAAUUUCAAAGUGCUAGGAAGUCCCAAGUUGGAAGACUUGAAGUACAGCAAGGACAGCAAAGAAUGGUUUUAAAGUGGAAGUCCCAAAAAUGCUUUGAGGAGUGGUAGAAGAUAUUGCUCCCUUUCUUUAUGGAUUUCUUGAUGUAACAUGCCUGCAAAGCAAUUGCUUGCCAUUUUCUAUAAAAAAAAAUUGUAAAUUGAUCUCAUUAACUCUCUUAUUGUCUAUUUCAACCAAUAAAAUUAUGUCAUGUUAACUAACAAUGCAUGGAUAUGGCAUUUUUAUAA